AAAACGUCAUGGGGAGAGGGUCUGUGGGGCAGCUGAGAGAAGGGAGCGGCCGUGGAGACCCCCAGGAACCCCCAGGAAUUGUGGCCACCCCCCAGGAACCCCCAGAAACUGGGGUGAAUCCCCAGAAUUCCCUCAGGUGAGAACAUCACAGGAAGGGUCUCCAGGGCAGCCGAGAGAAGGGAACGGCCGUGGAGACCCCCCAGGAACCCCCAGGAAUUGUGGCCACCACCCCAAAGGUGGCCCCAAAGGUUGUGGUCACUGCCCCAAAGGUUGUGGCCACCACCCCAAAGGGGAUGCUCAGGGGGAAAACAUCACAGGGAGAGGGUCUGUGGGGCAGCUGAGAGAAGGGAAUGGUCGUGGAGACCCCCCAGGAACCUCCAGGAAUUGUGGCCACCACCCCAAAGGUGGCCCCAAAGGUGGUGGUCACUGCCCCAAAGGUGGGUUUUGGUUGCCCCCUCCACCCUCUGCUCCCGUUCCUCUCCUCUGCAGGACUCUGGAAAAGGCCAAAAGGUGCUUUUUUGGGGGGGUUUUAAUGGUGUUUCUCAGGUGUGUUUGUCCUACAAGACCCACCUGGGUCACUUUGGUGCUCCCCUGUUGCCCCUCCAUUCCCAAAACACCCUUUUUCCCCCAAAAAUGUAGAUUUUGGUGCUGAAUCUCACGUUGCCUCAGGUUCUCUCACCUCCCAUCUCUCAGAAAAAAAACCCUUUUACCCUCAUUUCUGGUUUCUUUUUCCCUGGACUUUUCCAAGGAGCCUACUCCGAACUCAUGUUUUUGCCAAAACUCUUGGUUUUGCCAAAAAAAAAGCAGCUUUAAAAAAUUAUUUACAGGAUAAUCGGUGUGUUAUCGCCUGAAGUGCUGAAAAAUGGGAUUUUUGGGGUUGAUUUCUGGGUAUUUUUGCCCCCUAAAACACGAGAAUCCUUUUAGGAAACAGACUUGGGGGCGAGAGGGGAAGGUUUCUUUGAUCCAAAGCGUUUCCUGGGGGGUUUAAAAUGGGAAAAAGCGGAAAUAUCCCGGUUUUGGGGGGUUGUUUCCCGCCCUGAGAAUCAGAUUUUUAUCUUUAUUUAAUGUUUGGUGUCAAAUCCUCGUUAUUUAAGGUUGCAGCAACUCUUGAACGGGGCGAGUGAAACGCCUGAAUUUGGCGUUGCUGAAGUGCAGAAAUGACAGAAAUAAAUAAAUAAAAAAAUCCCUGGAAUAAGUAAAAUAUUCCCAGGACACGGUGUUUCCCAGCCCUGA